rnacentral:miRNA from 2 species
CAAGCUCGUUUCUAUGGGUCAG